UCAGAAGAUCGGGCAGCCGCUGGCCACGCUUUAAACAGUGGGGCGAGAGGAAAGUCCGGGCUUCACGGAAAAACGGCGCCGGGUAACUCCCGGGGGGCGCGAGCCUACGGACAGUGCAACAGAAAGCAAACCGCCGAUGGCUGGUUCUCUCGAGAAAUCAGUACAAGCAAGGGUGAAAGGGUGCGGUAAGAGCGCACCGCGUGCAUGGUAACAUCGCACGGCACGGUAAACCCCGCCGGAAGCAAGACCGAAUAGGAACGCAUGAUGGCGUUUUUCCGCGCCGUGUUCGGGUUGGUCGCUUAAGCGUUUCAGUAAUGAUGCGCGUAGAUGAAUGGUUGCCGCUCCUUUGGGAGUACAGGACCCGGCUUAUAGAUUUUCUGAGCUU
rnacentral:RNase_P_RNA from 2 species